CCAGUGCUCCCACCAUUGAACUUUCCAAACUCCAGCGAGUACCAGACCACUUCAGCCAGUACCAGCCAAUACUACACCACUCCAAGGCAUCCAGGCCGACCUCACAGCCCAGCGAGAAGCAGCACUUACAGGCUCAGUCCAGACAGGAAUCAUGCAUCCAGCUCAAGCCAGUACCAAACCACUCCAGCCAGUACGAGUCAGUACCAGACCACUCCAAGAAGCAGCAGGAAUGCCCUUGAAAGUGAACUUUUCCAGUUAAACAUGAAAGUUAAAAAAAAUAGUUGAGAACCAGGGAGAAAUUAUGCGCAUGCUGAGAGGGCUGGCAGCACAGUCUGUGGGGCCAGAAGCUGUGGAUGUUCAAGAUCUCAUUGAGAAGCCUUUCGAGACUCUUGAGCAGCUUAAGACCUUCUGUGAACAGCUCGACACUGAUCUUCUGCUCAGAAAGCAGCUGGUGAAAGCUCUUACUGCUCUUGGUGGGCAGAAUUUGGCAGACACGGUGAGGACAAUGCUGAGGAAAAUUGCCACAAACAAAGUCCUGGAGCAGCUUGGUCUCCGUGGAAAGACAGGCAAAGUGGCGUUUGAGGAC